UGGUCAAUCAUGGAGUCUAUUAAUGAGAGAUAAAUGCUUCAUUAAAUUGCUUCUGUUACAUUUUCUAUUUCUCUCUCUCCCUCAGAGGGAGAUGCUGAUCCACAUUUGCAGGUCCUUCGAUGUUGUUUAAGAGUAGGUGAAGAUGGUGGAAACUACACUUGUGUUUCUGAAUUAGAGGUAGGUUGUUCUAAUGGAAAUACACUCCGGUUUUAGU